rnacentral:lncRNA from 1 species
GUUUCCAUCAGAAGCUGCAGCAGCAGCCGCAAGCCCCUUUCUCCCCCCAAAAACGAAAAGCACACACACAAAACAGGGGAGGAGAACUUCUGAGAGAGCUGAGGGAAAAAGAGGGGGCUUCACCCACGCCGCCAUCGUCCUCACUACAACUCACCACGAGCCACCGAUCGCGCUCCAGUUCAGCCCGCCACCGUCGCACCAUCGGCGCCGUCGCCAGGGAGAGCGGAACCGAGGAGAGGGUUGGUCCGCGAGUGAUGGCUGUCGCGGGCUUGGGGGCCGCCGCGCCUUCGUCGCAACCGCGCCCACGCCGCGUCGCUGCCGUUGCCCUCCCUACAUCGCCGCC